rnacentral:rRNA from 1 species
GAUGAACGCUGGCGGCGUGCCUAAUACAUGCAAGUCGAGCGAACAGAUGAGGAGCUUGCUCCUCUGACGUUAGCGGCGGACGGGUGAGUAACACGUGGAUAACCUACCUUUAGGACUGGGAUAACUUCGGGAACCCGGAGCUAAUACCGGACAAUAUAUUGAACCGCAGGGUUCAAUAGUGAAAACCGUUUUUGCUGUCCCUAAUAGAUGGAUCCGCGCCGCAUUAGCUAGUUGGUAAGGUAACGGCUUACCAAGGCGACGAUGCGUAGCCGACCUGAGAGGGUGAUCGGCCACACUGGAACUGAGACACGGUCCAGACUCCUACGGGAGGCAGCAGUAGGGAAUCUUCCGCAAUGGGCGAAAGCCUGACGGAGCAACGCCGCGUGAGUGAUGAAGGUCUUCGGAUCGUAAAACUCUGUUAUUAGGGAAGAACAAAUGUGUAAGUAACUAUGCACGUCUUGACGGUACCUAAUCAGAAAGCCACGGCUAACUACGUG